rnacentral:rRNA from 1 species
CAACCUGGUUGAUCCUGCCAGUUAGUCAUAUGCUUGUCCCAAAGAUUAAGCCAUGCAUGUCCAAGUAUAAACCUUUAUACGGUGAAACUGCGAAUGGCUCAUAAUAUCAGUUAUAAUUUACUUGAUGAUGUCUUACUACUUGGAUAACCGUGGUAAUUCUAGAGCUAAUACAUGCAAAGGACCCGACUUUUGG